CAGCAGGGGAUUGAGAAAUAACAUAGAGAAUAAACAUUUUCAGCUCCCCGAUGUUGCUGAAAGACCAAGUAGUGAAAAAGAUUAAAGGAUUUAAAUGUGUGCACACAGGGCAAGAAAUGAGGCUGGAGCCGGUGCUGGAACAGAUCAGGAGGCCUGCAGUGGUUCUGGGGCAGUUCUGUCACAAGACGCAACAGUGCACGCCCAGGAAAAUAGCUCAAGGCAAGGUCACCUUUAAUACUGAAGCAUUCAGUGAAUAUGACCAGCAGAGACCCCUCUUAAUGAAUCUGCAGGACCAUCAAAAGACUUCCAGGAGGAGAAGCAUUGCAACUUGCUGAAAUUCCAGAUUGUGUCAAGUAUGACACUUCAAAUUUGUUCAGCAGAUUCAUUGUGCUGCAAGAGGGAGCUACCCUGGGUCAGAGAUGACAUCGGAGAUGGAGGCUUCUGAUAGCUGACUAAGAGGCCAACCUGGUGAUCACAGUGCCUUUGGAGAUGGCUGAGGUGGACUCCUUUUGUAUCCAGUGUGGAUUCACAUCACGGGUCAUCUGAAAGCUAAGUUGGGGGCCAGGGCCUGGAGAUGGGAUGAUAGCAGGGUAGUGGGUUGGAAAUUCCUGGGAGAGAUUUAAAAAGUAGUGUAGGGGAAAGGGACGCUCUCCAAGGGGCUUCUUAGGUAAGCUAAAGGGAGCAGCCCUACUUUUGACUGCAACUGUAGGGUGUGCAGCGCAGAGCAGUUCCGGUGUGUGUUGUCUUGUCCGGUGUGUGUUCUGUGUCUUUGGCUUCCCUUGGAUCAGAUCUCUCUGCCUUUUACCCUUAAGGGGCUUAUCAUAAGCAUUGGCCAUCAUCUCUAGCUUCUUGAACUUUCGUACUUCUCGGUAGGAUGCCAAUAUCACUUGUUCUUUUACCAGUGGGCUUGGCCACAUCUUGGAAUCACAUCUUGAAAGCAUUGAGUCGGAUCUCUUUUGAGGCCUUGUUCCCGGCUGUACUGCCAUCCAUCCUUUCCAGCCGUGAGCUGUAAUGUCCUGGGGCUUGUAAGAUUGUCAGGAUAUGGGAGCAUUCUAAAUGUGGCAUUGUCUCUCACAGCCAUCUUGAUCAUUGUGACUGACAGUUCUUAGAACAGGUCACUGUUACAGUCUUUUCUUCUGCUCCUUAGAGCCCCCUUCAUCCACCAAUGCCAUACCAUCGGUUGUCUCUUUUGGCGUCAUCUCUGUCCUUGCCAUCGUUCUUCUUGCCGAGAGCUUUUUUUAUCAUCCUCGUGUCACACUGCUUGUAGUAUAAUGUGUUGUUUGAGUUUGUGUCUAGCCUGGAAUUGCUCUGCCCUGUAGAGUAGUCCUGGCGGGGGGGUAGGUGGAGAAGAAAGGAGACUUUACAGGGAGCCUUUUGCUUUGCUCAGCCACCUGAGCCACGCCUCGGAUGGAGUGACUGUGGCCAGUCUGUGUGGUGUUCAGUGGAGACAUGGGAGUGGUGCAGUGGUGUCUUGCAGUUUCAUAGUAGUUUGUCCGAAGGCCCACUACUGUGGGAUCCUAGGCAGUUUGCUUUGAGGAAUGAGAACUUGGGAAAGGCUAAGCUGGGUAACUUUGACAAAUAAUUCUUUUGCAGAGGGAGAGCAUGUAAACCUGAUGUGAAUGGAGGAGACCAGAGGAGCACAGCAACGAGGUGGGUCGGUGCCUGAAGUCCAAGCUACGGCCUGACUCUGGGCUCUACGUUUACCUCACUGUUCGGAUUUUCAUUUUGAAGAUGCGAGGCACUUGGCACAGCAGGGUGGUCUGCAGCAUUCAAAUCGCUACUCCAACAUGACAGACACCCUUGCAGAAAGAGGUCACAGUUGAGCGCUUCCAGGUGGAACCUACCUUGGCAAUGCAACACUUUUGGACACUACAUCGGCAUGUGCCUUUCCACUUUGUUUUGCCCCUUCUCCCCUGGGAAGGGGCUGAACCCCCUCAUGGACCAGCUGAUGGAGCCAGUUUAUCACCCUUGAGCUGCCCCUGGAUACCCUGCGACGGCGGCGUCGGCCUUGGAGUGCGGCCACAGCGUAUGAGCUGAGGACCGGGACGUUCUCAGGAGACGUAGACUAAGAGAGAACAGCCCUCUGAGGGCAGGAACUUCCCAGAUGAUGAGGCGGCCUUCUUUUGCACCUGAUGAGGAUUUGCAUCCCUGGAUAUCUGAGAGCUAAGUUGAGGGCUACACCUCAGGGAGGGGGAUGAGAGUGGGGUGCUGGGUCAGGACUUGGUGGGAGGGAUUUUUGAAUUAGCUUUGGAGAUGGGGAUGUCCACGAGAGGGCCCCUUAGGCCACGUAAAGGGAAAGCCUCGCUUUUGAUCAUAAUGCUGAUGUGUGGAGGGCAGAGCAGUCCCGGUGUGUGUUGUGUCACUUGUCUAUUGUGUGUUCUGUGUCUUUUGGGCAUCUUGUGUCACAUGUCUUUUGCCUUACCCCUUUGAGGGGCUUAUCAGAAAUGCUGGGCAUCAUCCUUAGCAGCUCCUUUGCAUUCCUUGGCCCGACGCUGGUACCCUUGAACCUUUGACUUGCAAGCUCGGACAUGCAUCGGAAUCGCAUCUCUCUUUAGCACUAUUGAGUCAGACACCUUUUACAGUCUUGUUCUGGGCUGUAUUGACAGCUGUGCACCGCAACAAUCCCUUAUAACAGAUUAGGACUUGGGAGAAUGUGAGGAUAGGUAGAGGAUUCCAACCGUACGAUUCUCGGGCAUCCGUCUUUGCGGUUCUUGGCAUAAGUCCUUCUGUUAGGGUCUUUUCCUGCCAGAGUUCUUUGAGCCUCAUCGGCCUUAUCUAGGUCAUCUCAUUGGUAAUUCUUCUUGCUGAGAGUUUCCUCUCCUUGUUGCAUCCCCUUGUUUGUCAUCUCCUGUGUCACGGGUGUCUGUGUGUUUGGCCCGGGGCUGCUUUGCCCUGCUACAUAGCCUGGGUGUAGGUGUAAUAGGAUAAGUCCUAGGGACUUGACAUUUGUAAUGUAGGGAUUAGUUGGACUCAAGAUGGUAUUUCUAGAUUGACACAAGAUGUCUGGAGCUGCUAAGUUAUGAUGCAGCACUUUGACUUUUGUCAUAACUUUCUUUCAGAUGCAGAUGGAUUGAAUCUGUGGCAGAGUGCCCCAUACCAGGAAGUAAUGCUGAAUAUCAGUGGUCAAGGUCAAUGGAGCGAGGUGGUCCACUGGGAAGGUGUCCCGGCCCUGGGAUGCUGGAGGCCAGGUGCUGCUGCUGCCCUGGGCAUGCCAAGGGACAGAGGCGAGCAGGUAUCGUCCGGGCCACCUCCGGAGUCAGAUGAAGAUUUGAGGUACCACAAGUAGGUGCAGAGCCUAAGUUUGGAAACGGCCGCUGCCCAAGUGGGCUGUGGGCCAUGUAUUGAAAUCCACGGUGCUGAAGCAUUCUUUUCUGUCGAGGAUGGAUUUUGUCUGCUGGUCUUCGGAGAGCUAAGUGUGGGGACUGUUGGUUGGGAGAAGGCAAAAACCUUUGGAAUCACAGGAGGCAAUUUGAAGUUAGCUUAGAGGAGAGGGCUGUAGUGGGCCGGGCCCCUUGGAGUUACAGGAGAGAGGGUUUCUCUUCAGCAUCACUCGAGCCUUUGCCGGGCCGGGCAGUUCCAACCCAUCUCCAUGUUCUCGUGAGCUUCGCAUCAUUGGAUUUUGAGUCUCGAUGUCAUUGUCCAUCUUUUCACCCGAGGAGCCUGCCUUCAGGUCUGGCAUGAUUGCCACGGUCUAAAUUUUGCCUACUCUUCAGUGUAGCCACGCUUCUGAGCACUUUUGAACAUAGCACGCGGGCAUCUUGCAUCUUGGCCAUUUGUUGGUCGGUCAUGUUUUGUGACGUCACUUCAGCCUUUGGCGGCAGAAUCAUUCUCUAGGGAUCCCUUUGUAUCACCUGGCAGUCGUUGCCUCCUUCUCUAGGCCUACUGCGCUUCUUGAGCAUCCUCUUACCAGCUUUGGCACUAACUUCUCAUAAGGAGUUUAUAUUUCACUGUCACGUACUACUGCCAUAGAGCCUUCUUUCCUUUGGCGUCGUCGGCCUCUGACUCAUCUUGCACUAGGAAUCUUGGGUCCAUCAGGUAAAACUGCUGGGCAGUUUCAGUUUAUGUCUAUGUUAUGUGGUCUGUGUCCGUUGUCUUCAGUGUCAUAGGGCUUUGUGAUGUCUCAAUGCUUUACAGGCAUCGUUAUGGGCCUUAUUGGCAGCAGGAGCGCUUACAUACUUUCCUGGAUCGGGCUUAUUCUGGCAUCUUUAUGGUUUUGCUUUUUGAGACCAGAAGAAGUACACAAGGUGUUCCUAUCCAUCUUCCUUCUCAGUUUUGCUAGUAUCUUUUUUUCAUGUGCCAUUCCCUUGGACUUCUAUAUGAAGUGUACUAGACCCUCCUCACUGCAGUAGUUUCGUAGCUUCUGUCGCCUCAAAGCAUCCUGGUCUCAAGAAUUUAUCUUCUGAAGCGUUAUGUCAAGUCUUCGUGUCAUCUCUGCUUAUAUUUGAUGCACUGGGUGUCCAUGUGCUGCUUAUGCUUGGAGCUGCCCUGCCCUGGCACAUUCAGUCAUGGCUAGUUUGAACAGUUUUAAACUCUCAUCUCUUGUCUAUGGGCUUUUGGGUAGAAAGCUUAUGGGCCUGGUGUGGGGAUAACUCCUAGCUGUCAGCUACUUGCAGACUGCCUCAUGCUGUCUUGCAGGUCCCCGAGGCAGAUUUUGAUCCCUAUAGUCACUGAUGCUACCAAUUUUCCCAGGAUCUACUGUUCCACAUCAAGGAGCAGCAGAUGGAAGAAGAUGUUAAAGCAUCUUCUUUAGGGGGGAGUGUUUCUAGUAAGGGCUGCAGUCAGCGUGUAAGCUGAGGAAGGGGUGUCUGAGAGUGUGUCUGUCUGUGUGUGUGUUGACUGGCUCUAACCUUAUGCGUGUGUCGUUUUUUGCCUUUCAGGUUCUUCAGUUCAUUUUAAAAUUUAGAAUACGAAAAACCCAGCUGGUCCUGCCCAUGCUAUGGGGUCAGUCAGAGGGACACAGGGUUCCUCUUCUCCUCUCUGCUGGGAUGAACUGCCUAGGGAAUACCAUUUCUGACAGCCCAGUCCUACCUGUGUCCUUUGGAAAAGAGCAGAGUUUCAUCCUGCAGAGCUUCGUUCCUGCUGCCUCAGCGUGUUCUGAACCCUCCGCUCGCAGCCUGGGGGUGCCUUUUGUGCUGCUCCUCCGUGGGGCUGACUUGAGAGCGGAAUCAAGGUUGGAAAAGACCUCAGAGAUCACUGAGUGCAACCAGCACCACCACGGCCACCGCUGACCAUGUCCGCCCAUGCCACAGCCACAGGUGUUGGAGCACUCCCAGGGGUGGGCACUCCAAACCUCCCUGGGCAGCUAUGCCAAGGCCGGAGCGCCCUUUCCAUGGAGGAAUUUCCCCAAUAUCCACCCUGAGCCUCCCCUGGCCCAGCCUGAGGCCGUUCCCUCUCCUCCUGUCCCUGUUCCCUG